UACGGAGGGUGCAAGCGUUAUCCGGAUUCACUGGGUUUAAAGGGAGCGCAGGCGGGCUGGUAAGUCAGUGGUGAAAGCCUUGAGCUUAACUCGAGAACUGCCAUUUGAUACUAUCUGUCUUGAAUACCGUGGAGGUCAGCGGAAUAUGUCAUGUAGCGGUGAAAUGCUUAGAUAUGACAUAGAACACCAAUUGCGAAGGCAGCUGGCUACACGAAUAUUGACACUGAUGCACGAAAGCGUGGGGAUCAAACAGG
rnacentral:rRNA from 1 species